rnacentral:rRNA from 1 species
AAAUUGAAGAGUUUGAUCAUGGCUCAGAUUGAACGCUGGCGGCAGGCCUAACACAUGCAAGUCGAACGGUAACAGGAAGCAGCUUGCUGCUUUGCUGACGAGUGGCGGACGGGUGAGUAAUGUCUGGGAAACUGCCUGGUGGAGGGGGAUAACUACUGGAAACGGUAGCUAAUACCGCAUAACGUCGCAAGACCAAAGAGGGGGACCUUCGGGCCUCUUGCCAUCGGAUGUGCCCAGAUGGGAUUAGCUAGUAG